rnacentral:lncRNA from 1 species
UGGGUCGAAGAGGUGGAGCGCUUCACAAAGGAGCAAGAGGAGACCCUUCAGCUCCUCACCUCCCUCGAGAGCAUCGAAUUUUGGCAGUGCGACAAGCUGCAGUGCCUCCCUGCAGGGCUGCAUAGACUUCCGAACCUCAAGAGCUUAGACAUCCACACUUGUAAAGCCAUCUGCUCGCUGCCCAAGGAUGGCCUGCCAGGUUCCCUGCUAGAGUUGGUGAUAGACUAUUGUCCAGGCAUCCGGUCGAUACACAAGGAGUGCCUCCCAAAUUCACUGCAAAAACUAGUGAUCAGAGGCUGCCCAGGCAUCCGGUCUCUUCCAAAGGUGGAAUACCUUCCAAGUUCGCUGCGAGAAUUGGAUGUCGGUGAUAACAGCGAGGAACUAAGAAGGCAUUGCCGCAAGUUGAUAGGAACCAUUCCAAUAGUCAGAGCCUGAUUUACCCAAGGUAACAAAGAGGUGGAACUUCCUACCCACCAAUUUCCCUUGCUUUUCCUAACCCUAUAAGCAUCAGUUAUUCUCUUUUUGUUUAAUUUGACUACAGUUAUGGUUUCCUUCCGAGUAACCCACUUGUUUUCACCUACUGUGCAGGGAUAUUGUUGGAAUUGGUACAUUCUUCUGACCUCCGAAUUCUCACUGUAUUUAUAUGAAUACACGAUUCGAGUUGCCAAGUACGAACAUCUCAGAUGUGCCUAACGAAGUGCACAUAAAACUGGUUAGUGUCCUGUAUGCAAAAAUCACCCCCAGGGCCAUGUAAUAUUUACAAGUUUGAUGCACAUCUUGUAAUCUGCUGCCUGUUGUUUUUGUUAUUUGGACGCAUUUUCAUUCCUAAUCAUGAAGUAGUUCGAAACCUUCUGUAUGAGAGUUUGAUUAUAAACUAUUAAUCAAGAAAUUUCUCACUCACAUAAUAACACUAAAGUGUGAGUUUAGUAGUUUCAGUUGCCUCACAACUUGCAAAACAUGCUUCAACUACUUUCAAGUUGCCUUAGUACACUGCUAAAGAAACAAGCUGAUAUUCUCAUUUCUUUGCUCAAUGCUAGACUGAUUCGUUGUUCCAACGUGUCUUUCCCUUCUGCUGCACGACAAUUCUCAGAUAGCAUAACUAAUGGAGUGUAAUGAACCUUAUGUUCCUAUAUAUCAAUCAGUAUCUGCAGCAUUCCUAUUUUGAUUGCGUAGAGACAGGAGCUAAUAUCGAGUACUUUCAUACUACUAUUUAUUUUUGUAGAUCAUCUCCAUGGGAGCCUAUUAACUAGGAUAACAAAAUGGUGCUGAGAUCAUAUUGGUUUAGGUCAAGGUAAUUUAUCUUGUCUCAUGAAAAUCAAGUCAAUUUUUACCUACACCAUGUUCCAGACCACAAGUGCUUUUGACAUGAACACUGCUUAUUUUAAUCUACAGGACACAAGGGAACAUCAAGUCAUUGGGUUGUACAUCCUUGUACUCUUGUUAAAUCUUUCUGAAAACAAAGAGUUGCUCAAAAGGGCGUUGAGGUGUGGCUUCCUGCUGUUAGAAAUCCCUUCCCCAAAGGUAAUUAUAAUACAUUUGCUAUUUUCUUAAUCCUUUUCUUGAGAAAAAAAUGAUGUUGGAAUCAUUUGCAACUUUGGACGUAGAAUUUGGAUUGCUGAAUGCCUACCUUUAAUACUUUGGCAAUGGUGCAACAGAAAAAAGGUAUUUAUUUUGAAGGCCUCAUGUAAACUAUCGUUCAUUACAUGCAACUUCGUAUGUUCCAGGUGCCCAAGCAUGACAUAACUCUUGUAGUAUAGGUCAUAUUGUUUCCUGAGCCUCCUACUGUCAACUGAUCCUAAUGUCUUGAUCUAUUGCCUACAGCCCUAUGCAUGCAAGUUUCUGGCACUGCAGUAGUCAACACGAAAUUACUACUAUGUUCGCUGGAGCAACUUCACAAGUUCAGAUGUUCCAACUUCCAAGUGUUUCCUGCAUCUCCUCAACGACUUGCCUGCAUCGUCUGUACUCUGUAGUCUGCAGUUCUGCACACUUAAGCCCUACUCGUUCCACGAUUAACCUUGUGAUUGGCCGGCCUAGCCAUUUUUUCAAGUUGUGCCAUCUUGAGCAGCUAUCGACCAAAUAGUUCUUCACAUAGCACUCGAAAUUAAUCUGAGUUGCAGGUGUAUCUGCUGCUGCUCGAGCUUGUAGAAACUGGCCGUGGUUUGCAUAUGAGGUGAGUGUUACACUUUGCUCAGGCCCGUUUCAGAUGGCUGUAGACUGUAUUACAUUUGUAAAUACUAGUAUUACUUUUCCCUGGAGGAAUAUUGAUCGAGAGUUCACUAUUUUGUCAUUACUGUUGGCAACAGGGAUCUUGCAAAGAGCACAAUCUUUGACAAGAUCGAUAUCACUUUGCUCAUGAAGCUGGUACGUUGGACAAUGAUUCUUGCAUCAGCCAAGUUGUUGCGAUAAUUGCAAGACCAAGUUUAAGCAUCCAGAGACAACAGUGUGACACUAGUUCAGGCCUUCAGGGUGUCCUCAAAACUCGCUCAGGGCAUGCUCUGGAAGCAAGGCAAGUGUUCAGGUUCAGUGGUCUAAUGCAAUUUUGAGAUAAAAUUGAAUGUUUUUAGGUUUCCUCACGUCCCAAUUCCUGAGUAGACAUCAGAAAACUACGACUUGCACUGUACUUGGAGAGUAGUGUGUUUUCCCAUGACAAUAUAGCUUUGGGAAACUCUCGAUUAUUCAUGCAAUUUCCUGCAACUAAAUGCUGUCCUUUCCUUGGCUACAAAUUAAUUAUAUUCUGGGAAUGGUUUUUGAUAUGCAGGACUACCGUUCAUCCUGUAGCGUGUUGUUGGCCUCGGCCGAAGUGUAAUUUCUGAAACAUCAUAUAGAGUCAGAACGGCACAACGCAGGCUGCUGUUGAAUACUUAAGAGAAUACAGGCUGGAGUGGUAGUUAAGUGAUCAUAUUACAUAUAGGGUCAGUUGUCGGCUUGUGGCAGAACACAACCAAUUCAGAGAAUACAGGGCCAGUUUUAUUUUUACUCCUAAAGUUUAAACCUGCGUACGUAGAGAACGAAGCAGGAGGAUACAUGUACUGCUUGGAAUACUGUACUGUACGCAGGCAGCGGGCGCCUCGUAGGCUGCUGCUUCGUCAUCAGGAUUGGGCAACGAGGGCACGCUGCAGCUCAUCGGCCAUGAUUCCCGUAUGUCCCCGGCUGGCUGAUCAUUCGUCGCCGAGCUCAUCUCCGCGGCGGUUGACUCUCCGCCAUUUCCAUUCCAUGCAGACUCUUGAUGCUUGCAGAAACCGCAACGCGCAACAGCAGGCUAGGCUACUAGCUUAGCUAGUGAAAUUGGAUCAGAACACGAACCACGAAGCCUCUCCGGUAAUCGCAGCUUCGCACACCAUCGUCGCGUAGUCAAGAAAAACAACUUCGUCCUCCGAUCCUGUCUGCAGGCAACAGCAAUGCCAUCAGUCGAUUAAUUUCCUGUACGUUCCUGCAUCCGGCCGGCAACUUGUUCAUUGUUGGCCUGCCCGUUCCCGUGUUGCAUUGCUUGGCGUUUCGUUCGGGUAGAGUAGGCACCGGAUGGAGGCAGCAUCGAUUCGGUUCACAGGCCAACUUCAUUCGUCGAUCGAAUUCUGAUCGUACGUUUCUCUCGUCAUUGGUUUUCGUCCUCUGGCAGCAGCAUUUUCAUCAGUUGUGCUCAAGGCGCUGGCUUCCGGCGAUGCAAAAGUUGCCAAAGCUGUUGUCAGAGACUUGCUUGGUUGCCCGCAUAUAUGCUGCUCGUGCUGCUGCUACGUACUCUCCUGGUGGCGUCAGACGCAAUUACGCAACCGCGCAAGGCACAUGGAGACGUCUCCUCGCUGCCACAACCGAUCAAAACUGAUGGACAAGUCAACGGCUGCAUGUUUUGCAAGUCAAAUAUAUUCAGUAACAAAAUGUGCAAGCAUUGCUGAUGUUAAUCACCACAUGACUAGGCAUUUGUUUAUUGAAUCCAAAAAAUCAUAUCUACUUCCCGAAACAGACGAUCCCAGCCGUAGGCUCUCUAGGCAAGCUGUCAGGCAGAUCCCCGAUCCCUCCUUUUAUCCGAUGGUCGGUGGAGUCACCCGACCAACUCCAGUGGAUCUGAUCCGCGCUCCCCCUCCAUUUUUCAUACCAAUCACGCGUGCCCUCUCUCUCCUCCACUAUGUGUUUCAGUUUAUCUAGCUUUCCCCCACAGUUGCUACUUUUUUCUUUAAAAGAAGUGAAGGGACUAAGCUGAAGGCUGUUUUUUUUUCUGUUUUCAUUCGCAGCACUUGUUUCAAGACAGUUUGUUGACAUGUCUCGCAUAAGAAUUGAAGGAUUACUCGCUGCAUUCCCGAAACUGGUUGGGACUGGGAAGCAGCACACUUAUGUUGAAACUGAAAAUGUGCGUUAUGUUUAUCAACCUAUUGAAGGUUUAUAUCUUCUACUUAUCACAAACAAGUAGAGCAACAUUCUUGAAGAUAUGGACACUUUGAGGCUGCUCUCCAAGCUCGUAUCCUACUUUUGCAUAUAUUAAUCUUCUGAUUCUUUGGAAAUUACCUUAUCUGUAUGAUCCUAUUUAAUAUGAAUUAAAGUAGAAACUUGGUUUUUUGGGGUGGGUGGGGGUGUUAACUUCAAGAACAUGGGCUUAAGAUGACCAUACUGGCCUAUCUGGAUUUUACAGAUUUUACAUAUUACUGAGGGGGAAAACUUAAAAUACAACAUGCACUAUAGGUACUUGAAAGUAUCUAUGCAAAAUCUUAACCAAUAUGAAUCUCAUUUUUAGAGCUGUGUAUAUAUUAACUUCAUGCUACUAUCCAGUGGUAUGUUCUUUCACAGUAAUAUUUCUAUACUACCGUCUCCUUAACUUGGAAACCGCCUGAAUACUCCCCUUCCUUGGAUGAGGAAGGUGUCUGUAAAACAGCAUUUGAGCUUAUUUUUGCUUUCGACAAAGGCAUCUCUCUUGAAAAUAAGGAAAAUGUAACAGUUCAACAAGUCAAACAAUAUUGUGAGAUGGAGAGCCAUGAAGAAAAGGCACACAAGCUGAUGAUGCAAGCCAAAAUCAAUGAAACGAAGGAUGUCAUGAAGAAGAAGGCUAAUGAGCUUGACAAAAUGAGGGUCUGCACUACUCUUUUCACCAGACUUAAAAUACGCUGUAAUUCAUUUAAGUCGUUAUGGGUCAUGUGGGUAUUUUCUGUCAAUCAGCCUUAUUGAACUCUUUCAUUUUGCAUCAAUUUGUGUAAUGUCGCUAGUUAAGUUAAAGCAUCCAUUUAGAGCAUAUUUUGGUAACUCCAGUUUCUCAUGAAUUAACUUGUUGGGAUGGCAUCUGUGAGAUAUAAGCAUACAUAAAGAUGCACUGCUGAAUCCUUUAUGGAAAAAAAUGUAGGAUAGGAUUUAUGGAUUGAAAAUUUCAUGAAAGGAGAGUGGAACCCAAAUUGUUUAGAGGAAAAUUUAGUUGGGUUCCAUUACUGAGAUGUUAAAUUGUAUUAUCAUGUCAAGCUAUUUUGAGUAUGCAUCUUAGUAGUUAGUAUUGUACUGCAAUGAUAUUUUUGGGUAUUAUUUUUUAAUGCCUAAGGGGUUAUAUUUUGUGGGUGGUGUUAAUAGCAGAUGGAAAGAGGUAAACUUGAUAAAGGCGGAUACUCAUCAAUAUCUGGUCCACGUGUGAUUGAAAAAGCUUUCAAUGAUAUGAGCAUCAGUGGUUCUCGAUUUGGUAGCGGUUCUGGAUUAGGUGGGCUGAGCACUGACAUGGACUCAUUUGCUAGCAAGCCCAAAGGUAAAUCCUUUCUUUCUCUUGGAUUUCUCGAUCAAAUUUUAUUUUAGAAAAGACAAACUUAUUGCAUCAAUUUAUGUCGAUGACUUAAACAUUUUCUCCCUUUUUGCAUGCGCAUCUAGUUCUGUUUCGAUCUCCACAUAGCUAGGAAAUAUAUGACAUAUAUUACACCCUUUUUUCUUUUCAUUAUGACCCCUGUAUUUACAUUCUCUCCGCAAGUUCUCAUCAUAUCAAUGGAGUAUGGAUACUCCUAGCUUGUUAGGCUUAUCAAUCCCUUAAAAUUUGCUAUUCAUACUAUAUUUUACAAAAAGUUGAAGAUGAGUUAAUAGCAAUAUUGUUCGAAAUGAAGAAGCUUACCUAUCACUUUACUUUGUCUCACUUUCAUGAUACAUUUAUAAUAUUUUUGAGUUAAUACUAUAUACUUUAAACAUAUAGCGUGUUGGGAUCAUCCUGUAGUUAAGUCUAUUCUGAUCUUUCUGACUCAGUAUUAGGGAAACAGGACUACAUUACCUGAUUUCUAGCCAAAAUGCUAGAGACAAUACAGGGCUAGCAUAUGACCUAUAUUUGAUUCUAACUGCAAGCGUUGUUUCGACAGGUCGUCCAUCUACAGCUGCUACUGCACCCGGUAAAGGUCUUGGUAUUAAAUUGGGCAAGACACAGAAGACAAAUCAAUUCCUCGAAUCAUUGAAAGCUGAAGGAGAAGUCAUUUUGGAGGAUGUACAACCAAGUGCAGUUCCUUCAAGAUCGUCUGCUCUUCCACCAAGUGAUCCUGUCACAGUGACUAUAGAGGAGAAGCUCGAUGUUGUUGUUAAAAGAGAUGGAUGUAUCAAUAACUUUGAUGUUCAAGGAAGCCUUGCUCUUCAGGUUCUCAAUGAUGCUGAUGGAUUCAUCCAAUUGCAGGUAAUCUUUUUUAAAAAACAUACUUGUGUGUGUAUGGAUGGAAAGCUGUAACCUAUGUAAGGCGAUACGGUGAUUUCCGAAAAACACAGAUACGCCGAUACAUCAAAAACAUAUAUAUAAUACAUAUUUAAAUAUGAUUAGAAAAAUAAAGAAAGAGAAAAAACAGAGAAAAAGAUGAGAUGGGCUUCUAUGUACUAGCUGCCGGCCCACUCAGCCCACCUAAGAACAUUACUUACCCUAAUCAUCUCUCCCCACGCACACAAGUUGCCGCCGCCGCCGUUACUCUUUUCUUCUUCCUCGCCUCGCCGUGUCUCUUCCUCCCAAGUCCCAACGCAGCUCCACCAUCUCCAGUUAGUGUUUCACACUGCCGAAUAGCAAAAUGGAUAGCCCUUGACUCCUCCUCUCCGGUACUCUCAGAUCUUGUGCUCUUCUCAUAUCACAUCCAUCUCUCUAGGCCCUCUCCACUUCUGCAUCUCUCUACUGCUACCCAGGGACAGGAAGAAGUAUCGGAGGAAAGUAUCGGCUAGUAUCGGAGACGUAUCGCUAAUUAAAUUAUUUGUUUUUCCAUCAUAAUUUCUCGAUACACGUAUCAGACCGUAUCGGGCCAUAUCGCGAUGUAUCGCCGUAUCCUGCCGUAUCCGAUACCGGUACGGCGACCUGUUGGACGUAUCGGUGAUACGUAAGCUGUAAUUAUGAAAUAGUAUAUAGCUUUAUAUUUGCCUUGUCAUGUGAACCUAUAUUGACAUUGUAUCAUAUUCAUUGUUCUGGUCGCCUUUCAUUUAUCCUUCUUGUGCUGUUUUUUUUCUAUUAUUGCCAACAAGCAGCGUUAUUGCACACAGCAGCGUAUAAUCAUAUGAAUCAGCUUAUCAGUUGAUUUUUCUAACAUAUGGUGUGUUGUAGAUUGAAAGCCAAGAUAUUCCUGGACUAAGCUUCAAAACACACCCCAAUAUCAACAAGGAGUUGUUUAACAGUCAGCAAAUUUUGGGAGCAAAAGAUCCAAACAGGCCCAUCCCGAGUGGUCAAGACGAAACUCCUCUGGUGAAAUGGAGAAUCCAGGGGAUGGACGAAUCAUCUUUACCUCUGUCAGGUGCAACAUAACUUUGUUUUUUAUCUGUCUAAUAAUUUGGAAAUUUGGACUUGCAUUAACAUGCUUUUGCUCGAUGUAGUCAAUUGCUGGCCGUCGGUGUCUGGAAAUGAAACGUAUGUCAACAUUGAAUAUGAAGCUUCUGAGAUGUUUCAUCUUCACAAUGUUGUCAUGUCUAUACCACUGCCAGCACUUCGGGAGGCUCCAAAUGUUAAUCAGAUAGAUGGAGAGUGGAAGUAAUGUUUCCUUUUCCUCUUCAGUUUAUUUAUAUGUUAUUUACUAAAGUAUGUCGCAUAUAUUAUUGUGACAGUGCAUUACCAUAUGCCACUUGGUUUUGGUCUUUAUGUGAGGCCUUUUAUUAUUAAUCUUUAACAGACCAAAUGUGAUAACCUCUAGUGUUUUGCUGUUAUAACUGGCAUAUCAAGCUGUUACAGUGGACUUGUCUAUAUGCAGCUCAGCUUUUGUAUCCUAGAUGGUAGUGCUUUAUAUAGGUCUGAAAAAAACUGUGGUGUUUACUGCUUUAUUCCGUUUCCUUGUGGCAUUUCGUGAUGCACCUUUCUUUGAUUUUAUUGAACUGAGCUUGUGUUUGUUGUCUCAGCUUUUUUUUAUUGUUUCACUUUUCCUUGUGCAAACAGGUUUGACUCAAGAAUUUCUGUGUUGGAAUGGUCUAUUCUCCUUAUUGAUCAGUUCUUGUGUCUUAACUAUUGCUUUAUGUGCCCUUUGCAGUGGUUCCAUGGAAUUUGUUGUCCCCCCAGCUGAUCCAUCAUCAUUCUUCCCCAUCUCUGUUGGGUUUUCUGCAUCCGGUACUUUCAGUGAUUUGAAGGUUGGUUCCCGCACGCUGCUCGAAUGAGCCCUCCUAUGUUUGGUGUCUCCCUAUUCAUCCUUGUCAAUUGUGUUUAUCUGAAACUUUUCAGGUUACUGGAAUCCAUCCUCUGAAGGAAGGCAACGCUCCGAAGUUUUCACAGCGGGCUCGUUUGCUCACUGCUAAGAGCAACUCCAAGAGUAUGUAAUUUUUUUUUCCCAAAAUGAGGUAUUGGGGCUAUGCUAAAAAAUUCCUCCCAAAAACGUACCAGCCUACAGCAGAAUGCUAAAAAACUAGUCUCCCAAUAUUUUAAAUCAGUCCACGUCAUCGUAUUGGGCGCAUUUUAGAAUUUGUUUUGUUCCUUUAAAAAGGAUCACGCUGCCGGCUGGAAACCUCCUGUCGCCGCUGUUGAUUUCCUCACGCCAUCGAGAAAAUUUGGUCCUCUCGCACCAUCUUCAGUAGAAUUCGUUUUUUUGCUUUAAAAAAGGAUCAGAUUCAGUAGCACUGUCAAUAACCUUCCAAAGACACAUAACAAUGUCACAAAGAGCGCCAACGCUGUCACUUGUCCUUUUUGACUGCAGGAUAGCUCCAUUAUUUUCUUGUUCUGAGUUAAGGAAAGCUAGCAGGUUCUUGUACUCGAGAAGAUUAUCCUACAAAACAGCAAGAUUUGACAAGAAAUUAUUUGUGCAGUAGUACAGAAGCAAAGUAACAGUUUGGAGUUGACGAAAGGUACCUUCUGCAAAUUUGUGCCACCGCCCGGUCCAUUGAGGCUAUGCAAUUGGCCAUCAGAUGAGCCAAGGAUAAGAUUUCAAUCAUAAUUCAUAGGUGCCACCUGAUGACGUAUUGAUUCAGUUAAUUCAAUUUGUAGAUGUCAGAAGCCACGCUCUAAUUGCCAAUUAGCAAUUAUAAACUUUCCACAAUCCAACAUCAAUUAGGAAAAACAAGUUUGCGAGUCUAACCGAGAGCCUUUAACAGACCUGAGCUGCUGUUGAAGUAGGCGACGAGGAGAAUGACACCCUGCAGACAUGAACAGCUAAACUGUCAGCGUCAAAGGAGGGAAUACUAGGACGACGAGGGCAAUGGUGAGCACGGGCGGCGAGCGCGACUUGGGGUGGAGCAGGCCGUCGACAGAGAGCAGGCUCCCAUUUUCCACCUGCCGGCUCGGGUUCACCGACCUCCUAGACAUCCUCCUGCCCUCCCUCCCGAAUCCGACCAGCCAUAGAAGCGCGUCAGCCGCAGAUCGGAAUCCCCUGUGGCGCGAGAAGGUGGAGGUACCUCUGUCAAUGGCACCGGUCGCCGGGAGAGGAGAUCUGCGUCCCGGCCUGCCGCCGCAUGGCGCUCACCGGUCGCCGAGAGAGGAUAGCCGGCACCGGGAGAGGAGGCCGCACCGCCUGUCGUCGGGAGAGAGCUGCCACCGGGAGAUAGCGCGCUAAAAAAAAUAGCGCGGGAAGGGGGCGCGGGAACGGAGUUCGGGAGGAUCGGGGGAACACUGUGCGUCGCUAAAAUAUGCGGAAUAUGCGGGGUGGUGGGGUGUUUUUUCACGUCGCUAAUUUUUUAGGGAAAUUUUGGGUGGACUGUUGGAGUUCAUUUUUUCUCUUUUUUUUCCUAAAGAAAGUAUUGGGAAUAAGAUUAGCAGCCUCUUAGAGUUGCUCUAACUAUCAACUAUCUAACUAUCAACUAUCAAGUAGUUUAAUGCUCUUAUCAUGGUCGAGUGUUGUUUCACUGAAAUACUCCAACGGCACCUGGUAGUAACACAACGUAUUUUUGCCAUGAACUUCUUGGAGCCAUGGCAGGGAGCAUUGUUUCGCAUUUGGAGAAUAUUAUCCUUUUGCCCCUUUCAUUUUUAGCGUGUUGCACGGAUUGAUGUUCAUUCAGAUGUAUUGUUGCCAGAGAAAAUAAGCACCUGAGUUCUUGCAUUUCUCUUGGUACUGGCCCUGGCAGGGAGUUGCGCAGCAACCAGUGGGCGAAUGCAAGGUCGCUGGAAAAGCAGGCGAGAUCUCUGGUUCCGUUCUGUACUGAUGCGAACUUGCUACGCAACAGAUUAGUGAAAUGGAUCGGAGUAUCGGAGCCGCUGCACUCCAGUACUCCACUGGAACACGAGAAUUAGUUCGCUUGAUGAAGCGGGCGGGCGGAAACAGAGAAUACGAAGUCAACGAAUUGAAUUUUACGCUCGACCGACACCGUCAUAAAAUAGGAAAUCCAUUUACAGCUAGCAAAGUGUAGUAAAGGCCCAUAAGCUGAUGAGCCCAUGGCCCAUUCAAGCAUAAACAUCCUGGGUCAGUGCUGGCCCAUCUCCUCUCGUUUCCCGCCAGGAGCCCGCACGGAGGCGGCACGCCGGACGGAGCAGCGGCGGCGGGGAGGAUCUCGCGGCCUCCGCCCGGUGUCCAGGCCCCGCCACGAUUCGCUCCCCGCCCGUCUAGUCCUCCGCCGCGCUCGCCAGUUUGCCGCCCAAAACCCCCUACGUCGUUCCCUCGCCGACUCCCCCAUCAGUUUCCCAGAUCCCCCGUCUGUGUGUGUGUGUCAGAUCAAGGUGCCAUUUCAGCUGUGAACAAAUUGCUCUCGUCUAGUUCAUCUGCGGUUGCUCAUCCUCGAGCUGGUAGACACCCAUCCUCAUUUUCAUACGUGGCGAGUGUUAUACUCUGAUCAGGACGUUUUCAUAUGCCUGUUGUAUAUUUGUAUAGAUAUUCGUUCGUUCAAAAAAAAUAUUUGUAGAUAUUAUUUUAACCUGGAAAAACAUUGAUGAAGUUUAUACUAUUUUGUCAGCAAUUUGGCUAGCAUCCAGAGGUAUCUGCUCAUCUAGCUUCAAGUUUGACGAGAUAAUGGCUAUGGUACGCAUCGUUGUUAAAAUUAAGCCAUCUAGAAGUUGGCAUGCCAUCACCUCCAGGAACCAGUUUUAAGAGAAAUGUUUGUGGCAAGCUCAUCAGAUGGCACAUGGUGAUAGGGCCCACGUGUACUCGCUCCACGGUGGUUGCCUUGUCGACUCCACUCCAUUCUUGUGCUGAGCAGAGUAAUUUCCUGCUGUUGUCGCAUUGACUCUCGACCAUUUCAUGGGUCGUGGCUACUCGUCGUAUGCUCCGCCGGACUCCGUCGUGUUCCACGUUCCCAUGCCGGCAGAUGUCCAAAUGGGUGGCCCGGCCCGGCCAACUUCGUGCUGGGCCAACGCCUCCACCAUGCCGGGCCGUGCCAGCCCAUAGGCUGCACCAACAGUCUAGGCCCACGGGCCCAUUUCAUGCCGGGCCAACCUGUAAAGCACGGGCACAAUAUGCGUGCCGUGCCCACAGGGCUGCACCGCGAGCGCUCGCCCCUCCGUGGCUCUACGCCGCGCCGCCGCCUCCAUCGCGAACCCUGCGCAUCGCGGCUUGCCCGCUCGCCGGUGCCUUCCCCUACACGUCGCGGCCUCCUAGCUCGCCGAUGCCGCCCCCUACAAACCACUGCAUCCGAUCUCACUGGUGCCGUCGAGCGGAGUGCGCCGCCGCUGGAGGUGAGGAUGGAAGGAGGACUGGCCGACUGGAAGGUGGAGGUCCAGACUCCAGAGGGAGGAGGGACAGAGGCAUUGGUGCCCCUGCCUGCAACGUGCGGCCUGAGGGAUGGAGGAAGGAAGUGGAUAGGAAGAAUAGGAGAGCGAUGGGCCGUGUGCCAAGGCGACUGGUGAUGAGUUAACGGGCCGCCUCAGACCGGCCUCCUAAAACCGUGCUGGCCCAAGCCGCCCGUCGUGCUAGGGUGGCGGCCCAUGCUUGGCACGUGUUACCGGGCCAGCCAGCACGGACAUGCAGGCCGUCAUGCUGGGCUGGGCUUGGACCGGGGCAAAAAGUGGGUUCUGUGCCGAGCGAGCGGGUCACGGGCUUUCCGGACAUCUAUGGCCCCAGCGGUAACAAAAGCAACAAGGCAACGGCUCGGCAAAUUAUUUAAUCGCGCGUCCUUCCUGUACGUUAUACAAGGACGAUAUGAUGGCCAUCGAGGUCAUGUUUAGUUCACUCCAAAAUCUCAACUUUGGCACUAUAAAAAAGAAGAUUUCCCAUCACAUCAAACUUGCGGUACAUGCAUGGAGUACUGAAUGUAGACGAAAUCAAAAAUUAAUUACACAGUUUUGUUGUACUUUGCGAGAUGAAUCUUUUGAACCUAAUUAGUCAAUAUUUGGACAAUAAUUCACAAAUACAAACGAAACGCUACAGUGUUGCUACAGUAUUUUUGACACCCCAAAGUUGGGCAACUAAGGCCUUGUUUAGUUGCCAAAAUUUGGAGUGCCAAAAUUACUGUGCCAGCACUGUAGCACAUUGUGGCGUUUUGUUUGUAUUUGUGAAUUAUUGUCCAAACAUUAACUAAUUAGGCUCAAAAGAUUAGUCUCGCAAAGUACAACAAAACUGUGCAAUUAGUUUUUCAUUUCGUCUAUAUUUAGUACUCCAUGCAUAUACCGCAAGUUUGAUGUGAUGGGAAAUCUUCUUUUUACAUAGUGUCAAAGUUGGAAGUUGGGGGUGACUAAACAAGUGCCAAAGUUGGAGUUGGGGUGACUAAAAAGGGCUAAACAAAGCCUGAAGCCGGCUGGCACCGUGCUAGCUGUCGCUGCAUUCACUGCAACCACAGAUGCCACGUGCGACCUCACAUGCCACAUGCUAUCGGUGGCUUGGUGCCCGUCCUCCGGCAUUUACUGCACGCGCGCAUCCAACUCGUUGACUUCGCUCCAUCGCUCACCACCAUUUCUUUCGAACGGAACGGUGCCCGCUUGGCUGCUUGGCUUGCCGUCCGCUCCGCUCUGCUUAGCUCGUCGGCCGGCCACCUCUUCUCCGCCGGAUCCAGUGCUCGACGACGGCUGCUUGUGCAUGCCACUUUGAGUUUUUAUUGAUUUUCCCAAUUCCCAUGCUUCGAAUUCUUCUAUAAUGAUGUGUACUAAUGGAAACUAAAGUCACAAUUUUCUGUUGCGCCAUGACAUUUCCUAAUAAAUAGCAGGUGAAUGGUCCAUAUCUAGACAUGCAUGGAGUCGCCUCAGGUAUUGAGGUAUCGUUAAACCAGCAUGCUCAAUAUGUUCUCACACAAAGUUGCAUUGUUUAUGUUUUCCGAUGAUGGGUACUCCAUAUUAUUGUUUAAUGUUCUUUCCGGGAAAAAAAACUAGGGACAUGAACCAUUCUAUAUUUCUGGACUUUGAGAACUAGUACUCUUGGGUUGCCUAUAUGGUUGUUGAAACUUGAAAACCAAAUUGACAGUAGUAGCUCUGAAGGUGUAGAUUUCUAAAUUAAACCUUCAUGCCCUGCCCGAACUCUGAAGCAAAGUUGCAUACUACUCCACUUGAAUCCAUCCAAUGCAUGAUUAAGCGUUGUGUGCUUGGUUUUAUCGGAGUGACAGCCCAAAAUGGUCUGUUCUAUGUCUGAUUAAUUAGCAAAUGCAUCUGGUGUGCAGUGGAUAGUAGUUGUUACGUUGCAUCCCAGUUCCUAACAAGCAUAAAGUUGAUGCAUGAUCAUUUCUCGACAGCACUGAUCUCGUGCAAGUUAUGAAUUUGACUGUAAUUAGAGCCAGUUCCAGGAGCCAUCUGAAUCAUCUAAUCACAAUCACCACAUGCGCACUGGCACUGAAGAACCAAAACUGAUCUGGAAGUUGACAGGGUGUUGUUUCUUCGGGUUCAUCGGUGUUCUGUCUGCUGACCUGAAUAAAGCCUCCAUCAGACUUACAGUUAUUACGCCAGGUCAGCCAUUUUUUUUUUGUCGUUGCUGAUUUAGUCCGCACCAAGAACGUGGAACGCAGCUUCGGAUCCCCUUUCCAAUUCCAUCCUCGUUGCGGCAGCGGGAGGGGAACUGGAGCAGCACAUGCAAGAGUCCAGCAGCAAAAUAAUACGCGAGGACGUUCUGCUAGGCAAAAAGAUUUCUUUCCGGAUCUCUAGCCGGACGUUGAGCAGGGUCUCCUAAUUGAAAGCUUUUUUUGGGGGGGGGCAACUCCUAACUAAAGCUUUUUUUGCUGGGAACUAAUAAUGGAGCGGCUGGCUGUAGUGGCUUCACUUGGAAGCUAUCAGCUCAGUCCUUCCACGCUGCCAUCUCCAUUGUUCUCACUUCUCAGCACUGCACCCUUGGGAACGUAUGCGGUAUGCCUCAACGCACUGCCGCUCUCAUCUAGUCCUCUCGUCGUGUGAGUCUGCAUCCUCCUCGUUCGUCAGCUUGGCCUCUCGUAGGUGCUGAUUGUUGCCUGAUUCCAAACGAUCUUUCAUUACCAGAUUCCAGCCUCCUCUGUUCCGAAGCGACGCCCAUGAGAAUUGAGAUGGGAUGACAAUACUAACCAGGAGGGAUUUGGCAUCGACGGCUCCUUGACCGACGACGUCUUCUCCGCCCCGCCCGGCCCAGUCCUCUGCUGUACAUCCUGUUUUCGAAUCUGGGCGUGUCUUCUCCAACACCUCUGCCGGAUCUUAGUCUUUUGAGGAAGUCUCUACAGAUUUGAGCACACGCUCUGGCUGAGUGCCAGCCCUGGUGUGCAUCCGUUUUGUGGUAGGUACACGUACACCUCUUUCUCUCAUGUUCCUCGAAUGAAUCCUUGUCACGUGUUACUGAUUUGUUCUCUGCGAUUGCAAAUGCCUUUCUCUCUGCCUUCAGAUCCAGAAGGAACCUGUGAACCACUGCGUGACUCGUGAAGAUGGAGUUCGCGUUCAGCGCGGCGCGGUGGGUGGUGGGCAAGGCGCUCGCCCCCGUCGCAGACGGCUUCGUGGAGGCGUGGGCGGCCAGCAAGAAUCUCGGCUCCGAGGUCGAUGGCCUCAUGACGGUGCUGCAGUACGCGCAGGCCAUGCUCAACAACACCCGUGGCAGGGAUAUCGACAACCCGGCCCUCAACGACCUGCUGCUCAAGCUGCGUCUGCUGGCCUACGACGCCGACGACGUGCUUGACGAGCUCGACUACUUCCGCAUCCAGGACGAGCUCGACGGCACCUACCAUGCCGCUAACGAGCACGCCGGGGGAUGCGCCCGUGAGCUCCUCCUCAAUGCUCGUCACACUGGAAGAUACGUUGCCAAUAAAUUCAAGCUCUCCUCAGGCUCGCCUGAUGCUACUCGUGGACGACGAUUUCUAUGUGGUGCCUGGCCGUCCAAGGUACCGCAGAGAAGACAAACAGCACAGAUACCAAAAUUGAAGUUUGAUAGGGUGGAUAUAUCUACAAGGAUGACAGAGAUCGUAAACAAGCUCAAGCCCAUCUGUGCUAUGGUCUCAACCGUUCUUAAUCUAGAGCUGAUAGGCUCCAAAGGUAUCACUACUGCCACCAUGGAACGGCCCACAACCAGUGAGGAAAUUACAGAGCCUAAAUUGUAUGGGAGGGAGACAGAGCUACAGAGUGUUGUAGAUUCCAUUACCCAUGGUGAAUGUUUUGCCAAUGAACUUACUGUGCUUCCAAUUGUUGGCCCGGGCGGUAUUGGGAAGACAACUUUCACACAACAUGUGUACCAAGAAGUGAGGAGCCAUUUCCAAGUUACAAUUUGGAUAUGCGUCUCUCUGGAUUUCAAUGCAGAUAGAUUGGCACAAGAAGCUGUGAAAAAGAUUCCUAAAGUUAAAGAUGAAAAGAAAAGUGGUAGUGAUCAAGAGCUAAUUGAGCAAAGAUUAAAAGGUAAACGGUUUUUGCUUGUCCUGGAUGAUAUAUGGAAAUGUCAUGAGUAUGAGUGGGAAAAACUACUAGCACCAUUUAGAAAAGGUGGAGGAAAAGGUAAUAUGGUUAUAGUCACAACUCGAAUGUCAGAUGUGGCCAAAAUGGUUAAGACAGGUGAUUCUCAAAUGCAAUUGGAUCGUUUAGGAGCUAAAGAUUUUAGGGAUUUCUUUGACGCAUGUGUAUCUACCAAACAUGAGUUAUGGUCAGAUAAUCCUGAGUUAAGUGAAACUGGGGAAGCAAUAAUGGCCAAACUGAAACGUAAUCCUCUUGCUGCAAAAACUGUUGGGAGAUUACUAAGAAAACAGCUCACUUUGGAGCAUUGGAGAAGGGUUCUAGAGAGCAAAGAAUGGGAACUCCAAACCAGUGACAAUGACAUUAUGCCAGCGUUGAAGAUUAGCUAUGAUUAUCUUCCACUUAACCUAAAGCAAUGCUUUUCCUAUUGUGCUUUGUUUCCUGAAGAUUACGAAUUUGACAGCAAAGAGUUAGUUCACUUUUGGAUAGGACUAGAUGUUUUACAUCUGGGUGAUCAGAGCAUAAGAAUAGAAGAUGUUGGCAAGAGUUAUUUGAUUGACUUGGUCAACUAUGGAUUUUUCAAAAGGAACGAAAAAGACAAUGGCCGUCAUUAUUAUGUUAUCCAUGACCUAUUACAUGAGCUGGCCGUGAAAGUUUCACGGCACGAUUGUCUUAGCAUACAAAUAUCUAAAGUGAGGUAUGUACAUAUCCCGGCAUCAGUACGCCACUUGUCUAUCAUUGUGGAUAACAAAGAUGUUGAGGAUAUAAUUACUUAUAAAGACUGUGAGAAGGAUCUUGAUGCACUUGAUAAAAGGCUACAAAUUGAAAACAUACGUACAUUGAUGUUGUUUGGUGAAAAUGUGCAGAGUUUUUCCAAAACAUUUGGUAAUUUGUUUAAGAAAGCUGGAGCCCUUCGCGCUAUUUUUUUGUCUAGAGCAUCAUAUAUUGUGGAGGAUAUGUGGCAGAACUUUUCAAAGCUUGUUCAUCUUCGCUACCUGAGGAUUAAGGGGAGUUACCAUUUUCUGGAAACAGACCUACCAGGAACAAUUUCAAGACUAUAUCACUUGAAGAUCCUAGACAUUGAAGAUUCCAGGGGCUGCCCUAUGCCAUCAAGAUAUUUAAGCAACCUCGUAAGCAUGCAACAUUUUCUUGUCCCUGGUAAUUAUAGCCUUCACUCAGACAUUCUCAAUGUGGGAAACCUGAAACUUCUACGAGAACUAAGAAGAUUUGAAGCUAAGAAAGAAAAUAAAGGUUUUGAGUUAAAGCAACUAGCAGAACUACUAGAGCUUGAAGUACUGCGCAUUUACAAUCUUGAAAAGGUUAAAGUAAAGGAAGAAGCAGUUGCAAUGAAACUAAUACAAAAACACCAUUUACAAGAGCUCGUACUAGAUUGGGAUAUUGAUCGCUUGGAUAAGGAUCCUAUAGGAGAAGAGAAUAUCCUUGAAAGUCUUAUGCCACAUAGCAAUCUCUACAAGCUAUCUAUUAUUGGACAUGGAGGUGACACUUGCCCUUCAUGGCUUGGUAUGAACCUCUCGGUAAAAACUUUGGAAUCUCUUCAGCUGAGUAACGUAUGUUGGAAAACAUUUCCACCUCUAGGAGAGAUGUGGUUUGUCGGUGAACAUUGUAAAAGCUGUAUGCCAGAACAAAGCUUCAAAAAAUUGAAGAGGCUAGAACUGGAAAAUGUACCAAAAUUGAUAAAAUGGGUUGGAAAUGGCCCUUCUGAUUUGUUCUCUCACUUGGAAGUACUCGUCAUCAAAGGCUGCCCAGAACUCAUGGAAUUGCCAUUUUCACAUUGUGCUGGAUAUGAACAAGACGUUGAGGAUAACAUGAUUUGGUUUCCUAAACUAGAAGAGCUCGAAAUUACAGAUUGUCCAAAGCUAUCAUCAUUGCCUUGUGUUCCAUGGUCUAGCUCUACUUGCAGUGCUAAGAUUAUACAAGCUGGUUCGGGUAUUGAGCGACUGUCUUUCAGUGGAGAUUUCUUGGAAAUUAAGGGAAAGGACACAUUGGAUAGUGCUUUUUGGAGGGUGUUAGCCUUUCAUAACCUAUCCAAACUUGAAGAAUUGUGGGUGAGGACAUGCCCUCCUUUGUCACUGGUUCACCUCGAAAAGCUAUCAUCCCUAAAGCGCCUCGUCAUAAAUGAUAUGGGUGAUGCCUUUUGUUCGGCUGAAGGUGAUGGUCAUGCCGGAUAUCAAUUUCCAGUUAAAGGUGUCACGAUUGGGCGAUAUGGUGGUAGUGGGCAGCGACUGACACGACUGCUCUCUUACUUCCCAAACCUCCGCAUGUUCACCAUGUUCGAGUGUGAGAAGUUAACAGGGUUAGGCGUUGUGGGCCUGCAUAAGAGGACGGAAGCACUGCCAAGACCGCCGUCAAUUUCAGUUAACCAGGGCGCAAGAGCAGAGGAGGAAAUAACAUCAGAAGGGGUACUAUUGCUGCCUCACCAAUUACAACAUUUGGGGAUCUGGGACUGCCAAAAUUUGGUCCUCUGCCCAGGUUUACUCGACCACGACGAAGACGAAGGACGAACCGGAGGCCUCCAAGGUCUGAGCUCCCUCACUUCAUUAACUAUAGGGGAAUGCCCCAGGUUGCUCUCCUCCUAUUCGUCGUCCUCCUCUUCUUCUUGUUUCCCUUUCCCAACCUCCCUGGAAUACCUCUGUCUGGCAGGCGAGGUGGGCAUGGAAACGCUGCUCCCUCUCUCGAACCUCACCUCUCUCACAAGGUUAGACAUACGGGAAUGUGGGGAUCUUAAAGGUGAGGGUCUGCAGUCUCUCCUCGCCCAAGGCCGUCUCACCGAAUUAACUGUCCGCGAAACCCCCAAAUUCUUCGCUGGUUCCGAGCCCUCACUGCCGCGUGAACCAGAGCUUCCAUCCUCUUCAUCCAAACUGCAGGAGCUUCGCACGGAUGACGUCGCGGGUGUCCUUGCUGCGCCCAUCUGUGCCUUCCUCUCUUCCUCGCUCACCAAAUUGGAGUUUUGGGAGGACUCAGAGGUGGGGCGCUUCACAAAGGAGCAAGAGGAGGCCCUUCAGCUCCUCACCUCCCUCGAGAGGAUCAGAUUUUGUCAGUGCGACAAGCUGCAGUGCCUCCCUGCAGGGCUGCACAGACUUCCCAACCUCAAGAGAUUAAAAAUCUACGGAUGUGCAGCCAUCCGAUCACUGCCCAAGGAAGGCCUCCCAAGUUCACUGCAAAAGUUGGUGAUACACGAUUGUCCAGGCAUCCGGUCGAUGCCCAAGGAAUGCCUCCCAAAUUCACUGCAAAAACUAGUGAUCAGACGCUGCCCAGGCAUCGGGUCUCUUCCAAAGGUGGAAUACCUUCCAAGUUCGCUGCGAGAAUUGGUUGUCGAUGAUAGGAACAGCGAGGAACUAAGAAGGCAUUGCCGCAAGUUGAUAGGAACCAUUCCAAUAGUCAGAGCCUGAUUUACCCAAGGUAACAAAGAGGUG